rnacentral:rRNA from 1 species
GAAUCUUGCGCAAUGCGCGAAAGCGUGACGCAGCAACGCCGCGUGGGGGAAGAAGGCCUUCGGGUUGUAAACCCCUUUCAGGAGGGACGAAGGUUCGCCGGUUAACAGCCGUGCGGAUUGACGGUACCUCCACAAGAAGCUCCGGCUAACUACGUGCCAGCAGCCGCGGUAAUACGUAGGGAGCAAGCGUUGUCCGGAAUCAUUGGGCGUAAAGCGCGCGUAGGCGGCCCCGUAAGUCCGCUGUGAAAGUCAAAGGCUCAACCUUUGAAAGCCGGUGGAAACUGUGGGGCUAGAGUCCGGAAGAGGCGAGUGGAAUUCCUGGUGUAGCGGUGGAAUGCGCAGAUAUCAGGAGGAACACCAAUAGCGAAGGCAGCUCGCUGGGACGGUACUGACGCUAAGGCGCGAAAGCGUGGGGAGCGAACAG